rnacentral:rRNA from 1 species
UACGUAGGGCGCAAGCGUUAUCCGGAAUUAUUGGGCGUAAAGAGCUCGUAGGCGGUUCGUCGCGUCGGCUGUGAAAACCCGGAGCUCAACUCCGGGCCUGCAGUCGAUACGGGCGGACUCGAGUUCGGCAGGGGAGACUGGAAUUCCUGGUGUAGCGGUGGAAAUGCGCAGAUAUUCAGGAGGAAACACCCGGUGGGCGAA